GACGCUCUCUAAACCGGUUGAUG
rnacentral:siRNA from 1 species